AUAAAUGAGAUUCACUGGUGUCUAUACCUUGGUCUCUCCAACCUCCAAGCCUCAAUGGAAGACCUUCCUGGUAAAGGAGGAAUGGUCUUCCAUUGAGGGUGUUUGAGUACACACGUUCCCUGAAAGAAACUCCAGACCAGCUCUCAAGGUCCAUUUGCAAUAAAAAGUAGAUUAAGUAAGUUUUCAUAACUGGUAGACAUAGUCAACUGUGUGGUGAUGCAUUUGGCAGUUUGCCUUUCUGG
ensembl:misc_RNA 7SK 7SK RNA